GCUUGGUCCGAGUUGGGCAAGUUGGUGUUUCUUAACUAUGAAAGUCUGAUACGCGUCCUCCCCUAAACUUCUGUUAGAACGGUGGGAAACAUUGCUCCCGUGAGAACGGUAUAGUGGACUUCAUCGCCACUGACCCACAUUUAUUAGGGUGUGACACGAACUUGUGGACAGAGUACCGAGCUGCUGCUUUGCCAGGUGGAUUUCUGGCUGCGGGCAAAGGACCCGACACAUCGGUGUGUUUUAAUUUGUUUUAAACUGGUGUAAGCCGACAGACUGACUGCUGCGGCUGUCGAUGGUUUUGUUUUUUUGUUUUACUUUUUCUGUAUCAGUAGGCACCACAGAUAUUGAUUCGCAGGCGGUGAAGGCGCUGCAGGGAAAACAAAUCCUUUUUUUGCCUCCCCGCUUUUGCAUGCACAGCGGGGGGCCCGAGUGAAGACGGCGCUGAAGAUUUGCC